GUUGACUCAGUUUUUAUCUGCAGUAAAAGAUAUCAAACAGUGAUGACAGGCAUUGACAGGACAGUCACAUGUUCACUGCUCUCAGACUGAAUCGACAAAGUGAUUGUAUAAUAUACAUGCGUUGUGUUUAGAAAAUAACAAAAAAAUACAGAAAAGCAGUAAAAUAAAACAGUUAUGACAGGCACUGACAGGACGGUCACAGCCACACGUUCACUGGUUAGGUAGGACACAAGAUAUCAUUUAGAUAGGAGCAACAGUAGUGAUACAUGGUUAGGUAGGACACAAGAUAUAAUUUAGAUAGGAGCAACAGUAGUGAUACAUGGUUAGGUAGGACACAAGAUAUCAUUUAGAUAGGAGCAACAGUAGUGAUACAUGGUUAGGUAGGACACAAGAUAUCAUUUAGAUAGGAGCAACAGUAGUGAUACAUGCCCUCAAUGUGAAGUGAUAUUAAUCCAUAAAUACAGAGCACAAGUACAACCCUUUUUAUAUAAACAUUUGAAGGUUGUAAGAAAAUAAACAUGAAGUUAAUAUUUCAAUAAGUCACCUGCUAGUAAAUCACCUGCUGGUAAUAGCUGCGUGACACAUUGUAGUGCAGUGACCAACGGUGCUAGUUAGCUCGUCAUUAACACGGCUAGCUAAACAAGCAGAAACCUGGUUAACUUGCUGAAAUAGGUCUUCAAUUUAUGAACGGCAAAAUAAAUAUAUACAUAGCCACAUUCGCCAUUGACUUUAGGAUAUAUGAACCAGUUUUCCAAAACCACUAUUGUGUUAUAGAGUUUUAAACAGUUUUUAUAUAAAGAGGAAGAGGACUGGAACCUGCUGUCAGAAUAUCUCUCUCAGCCUGAGGAGCAGGCAGACCAACUUCCCAAAUAGGGUAGAACCAGUGCUGUCACAAUGUUGCACAUAUGUAAAUAUGUUGUUUACUGAUCUCCUCUCCAUUCUAGCACCAUACGUUCUGUUGUUUACUGAUCUCCUCUCCAUUCUAGCACCAUACGUUCUGUUGUUUACUGAUCUCCUCUCCAUUCUAGCACCAUAUGUUCUUCAGAAGCUGGUCAGCAUAUGAAUAGAAUCCAUCUUCUCUCACCGUCUCCCCACAAGACCUACAUCACACAAGAUGCUUCAGAAUAACAACAACAAGCUGGUGAAGUUACUACCCAACAGGAACAGCCAUGACAACAACAACAAGCUGGUGAAGUUGCUACCCAACAGGAACAGCCAUGACAACAACAACAAGCUGGUGAAGUUGCUACCCAACAGGAACAGCCAUGACAACAACAACAAGCUGGUGAAGUUGCUACCCAACAGGAACAGCCAUGACAACAACAACAAGCUGGUGAAGUUGCUACCCAACAGGAACAACCAUGACAACAACAACAAGCUGGUGAAGUUACUACCCAACAGGAACAACCAUGACAACAACAACAAGCUGGUGAAGUUACUACCCAACAGGAACAACCAUGACAACAACAACAAGCUGGUGAAGUUACUACCCAACAGGAACAACCAUGACAACAACAACAAGCUGGUGAAGUUACUACCCAACAGGAACAACCAUGACAACAACAACAACAACAAGCUGGUGAAGUUGCUACCCAACAGGAACAACCAUGACAACAACAACAAGCUGGUGAAGUUGCUACCCAACAGGAACAACCAUGACAACAACAACAAGCUGGUGAAGUUGCUACCCAACAGGAACAACCAUGACAACAACAACAAGCUGGUGAAGUUACUACCCAACAGGAACAACCAUGACAACAA
rnacentral:lncRNA from 1 species